rnacentral:rRNA from 1 species
UACGUAGGGUGCGAGCGUUGUCCGGAAUUACUGGGCGUAAAGAGCUCGUAGGUGGUUUGUCGCGUCGUCCGUGAAAUCCCAUGGCUUAACUGUGGGCGUGCGGGCGAUACGGGCAGACUUGAGUACUGCAGGGGAGACUGGAAUUCCUGGUGUAGCGGUGGAAUGCGCAGAUAUCAGGAGGAACACCGGUGGCGAAGGCGGGUCUCUGGGCAGUAACUGACACUGAGGCACGAAAGCGUGGGGAGCAAACAGGAUUAGAUACCCCCGUA